UACAGAGGGGGCAAGCGUUGUUCGGAAUUACUGGGCGUAAAGGGCGCGUAGGCGGCCUGUUAAGUCGAACGUGAAAUCCCCGGGCUCAACCCGGGAACUGCGUCCGAUACUGGCAGGCUUGAAUCCGGGAGAGGGAUGCGGAAUUCCAGGUGUAGCGGUGAAAUGCGUAGAUAUCUGGAGGAACACCGGUGGCGAAGGCGGCAUCCUGGACCGGCAUUGACGCCUGAGGCGCGAAAGCCAGGGGAGCAAACGGGG
rnacentral:rRNA from 1 species